UCUUAACAGUUACAUGUGGAAGUAUCUCAUAUGUUUUAAUGUUUGUCUUUUUAAUAAAGUAAAUAAAAAAACUUAAGGUUCUUUUUCCUUGCAGACCCAGAUUGAUCAUUACAUCGAUCUUGUGCGUACCCAAGUCAACAACACAAUUGCAAAACUGCAAGAGAAACUUCCGGGAGCUAUGAAACGCAGCAAAACUGAAUGAUCUCACAUGUCAUCUUCAUCCUCAUCUCCAUCACUCUGGAAAAACCAACCCUUCAUCUCACCCAGCUCCUCCCCAGUAACCCAGACCUGUUCACCUGUGCCCCCACCCAACACACACACACACACACACACACACACACUGAACCGUGCUAGACAGAUACUCAGCUACUCAAUGUUCAACGUAAAACUACUGCGCAGCUUAACUUGCAAACAUAAAAUCAGAGGCGUGCCUGCAGAGCCAUGAGGCACCAUGCCUAUGAGCAGGUCAUGUGACACUGCAGCAUUCCCAGCUGCAGAGGGAAGGCCAGCCUGAGUGAACUAGACUGAAUCUAUGACCUGGUUCCACCACGUACAGAGCAUCAGGGCGGACGGGGCGCUGCCUCCGAGCAACACCCGUCUGCCGAGGAAGCACACGCUUCCCUGCAGGUAGACCGAGGAGCGUCCGGCUGGUCACACAGCCUCUAUGGAGCUGUGGCCAGGCUCACUGUACCUUUUACUCAAUGUUACAUUCUGUACAAAUUCAUUUCAGGAGCUGGGAUUGGCUCUGCUCCUCCUGAUCGACUCUUCCGUUUGUUUUUCAGUCACAGGCAGUGUUUGAACCUUCUGCAAUGCACUGAUUUUCUCCCUCCCUGACGCCUGGGCAGGUGGAGGUAGCCCCCACCCCUGAACCAGCUGUGAUAAUUUGGUCUAGUUCAUCAUGUUCAGAAGCUUUUUUCUGAAAACGUCUGUUCUUGUAAAUAACCCUGAGAAGCGACAGGCUCUCUGCGCCGUGGAACACAUCGGCCAAGCUUUUAUAUUGAAGGAAGACCCCGACCCACCCCCACCCCUACAAUCAUAGUAGUCUUGACUGUUUUUGCACCUGUUCAGUCCUCUAAAUGUUCGGCUCUUGUUUUCACUUGUAUAUUUUGAUUCUAAUUAUGACUACUUAGAAGUGCUACCUGUAUAAACUCUAGGAUGGCUGCUUGAACUCCCCUCCAGCUCGAUAACGGCUUAGUGAGACUUCUGUUAGGUGUUACUGAGCUUCUUCUUUUUAACCAGUAGUUCUUUGAGUCCUCCCCUAUAGAAUCAAGCUGAUAGGUUAAGCGGCACAUUGAUGUGUUCAACUUUUAAUCCCCACAUGGUUUCUCAGAUUGCUGUUGUGUUGAGUGUAAAAUGUGAAUGGUUUGAAUUGUUUUGCCAAAAAAAGAAUUAUGAAUAAUUUCAAAGCUGUUCAGUUUAAUUUUAGACAACAGGCCAAAGGUGGAAGGUCAUCUGGAAAAUAAUGGCUGAAAUUAAAAUUGAAUGUAAAAGUGAAAAUAAAAGUUUGUGCUGUGAUCGUUUCUCUAAUUUUUUCCUCUUUUUUUUUUUUUUUUAAAUGUACUCUUCAAAAGCAGAGACUAUAAUGUUGACACAUUUUACACUCCAUACAAUGUUCCUCUGGCCAAGGAGGAAAUGAGAUGAGUUCAGGGUUGUUAUAUUAGAAGGUGCCAUUUUAAGUAAAGUAGCUGGAGAUGAUGGGAACACUUUCUGAAAUGGUUACUGUAGAACUCCUGUGUUUUUGUUUUUUUGACAGCCUCAGUGCAUGUCAUAGUGUAAGCUGGAACAGGUUUUCACCCCUCCCCUAUAUAGCCAGUAAUAUAUUGUUGAUCCUGACUUUUGUUUAAUAAGGUUACUACUUGUGAUUGUUUCCGUGGUGUUUUCUGAACCUGAUUUAAAACCAUAGUGACGUGUUGGCCCUGCAGUCCAACCUUUGUUACGUUAAGGGACGGAAGUGUGAAUAGUGAGUCGACACCACACCUGUAGCUGUAGCUGUUCUGUCCUGUCUGCAUGUCUCCCUGCAUACUGAAUGGACACGGCUGCUGAACUCUCUCCCUCCUAUGCAUGACCUCUGUGUGAUUCACCUGCACAGGUCAGAGUUCACCGACCCUGCCGCUUCGUGUCUGCCACUUCUGUCCCACAGGAGGCGCACUGAAUGUCAUCAGAGAUAAAGUUACGUUUUUUGUUUUUUAGAAAAGGAUUUAGCUUCCAGAACAUAGUUACCAUGUGUUUCUUUUAUGGAUGUAAGAUUUAAGAAAU